AAAAAUUUAAUAUGUGGUACACUUAAAUGACCAAUUCACAUGUAAAAACUAAUUUGUUAAUUUUCUUUUUGUUGAAUAAAAGUAAAUUGUUUCUAUAUAUUUAGACAUAUAAAUUAGUAUAUGUAAAUUUGUUUACUUUUUUAAAUUUUCUAUUUUUUUAAGAGAAUAAAAAAGUUAAAUCUUUAAUGACACAUGUAAACAUCUGAUCGUUUGAAUUGACACGUGACACGAUCCUAUGAAUUAGUACCUUUGAAAACUAUACUUUAUAUAGCAAAAUCGCUGUGUAGCAUAGAAGAUAUUACAUGAGGUAUCAAAUUAUGAA
rnacentral:sRNA from 1 species